rnacentral:misc_RNA from 1 species
CGCGGCCACAUUGCUCCACCUCCCGGCCUCCACUUCGCUCUCCACCUCCUUCGUCGCCGCUCCAGGCCCCAUCUCCGGCCGCCGGUCCGUCGUCCUCCGCGCCCGCCCGCGCCGCUGCGUCACGGUCGUGUGCAGCGCCGCGGCGGCCGAGGCCGCGGAGGCGGAGCCCGCGGAGAAGUUCCGGCUCGACAACCUGGGCCCGCAGAAGGGGUCGCGGCGGCGGCCGAAGCGGAAGGGGCGCGGUAUCGCGGCGGGGCAGGGCGCGAGCUGCGGGUUCGGCAUGCGUGGACAGAAGUCGCGCUCGGGGCCAGGCGUCCGGCGCGGGUUCGAGGGAGGGCAGAUGCCGCUCUACCGCCGCAUCCCCAAGCUGCGCGGCAUUGCUGGAGGAAUGCAUAUUGGCUUGCCGAAGUAUGUGCCGUUCAAUUUGAGAGACUUGGCGCG